AAGCAGCACCAGGUCUUUCCAGGACUCUAGAAGCGAACGCCAGAUACUCGGCCAUCUGGGUGAUCGGCGCCUACACGCAUGACCCCACAGGAAACGCUCUGCACACGAAGCCAGGAGUUUAAGGACAGGGGCUGGGACACAGCCUCAGGCUCGACCCCAGCUCUGCCCCUUCUUCUGCUGUGUGACUCAGACAACACUCAGUGGCUGUGACUGCCUCCCUGGCCAAGACCACUGGCGGAAAUGACGUGGGCAUGUUUAAACGAGGAUGGAGGAGACUGGAGUCGAGAGAAAAGAGUUGCACGAGGUUCGAAAAGAUGGGGAAACCGAGGCUCAAAGAAGUCUCUACGGACACAGUCAGUCAGUGAUGGAAUCAGGAUUUGAACCCAGGUCUGAGUCUUGAGCUCCCACAGGCCUCGCCUCAGGUAUAAAUAAUGCAGCAGUAAUAGCAGCAGCUGCCUAUUAGCACACCCUUCCUCUCCUUUCAUCGUAGCCCCUCGGCAGGGGCGCACAGGAGCCCCAUCGGGACUUGCAAAGCUCAACUUGGAGAAAUGCAGUGGCCUGCCCAGGGUCACACCGAUCU